ACUCAGUUCAGUAGCUCAUCGCCUUGCAUUAUCUUCGUUUAAGAGGGAUGACAGCAGGUCCGGGGGAAUGGCACCAGCCUGCCAGAUGACAGCCAGGACAGCAUGCAGACCCCGCACCAUAGGUUCACCACCAGCCUUUAGUAGUUCAGCAGGGAUGCCUUUCAGCUUGCAGAUCGCCUCCCUAAUCCCAGUCAGAUUUGGAGGUUCCCCGCUGACGGAUGGGUCUGGCACGGGUAUUGUGACACCACAUGCGUCCAAGCUAACUACUGGGUCAGUCUGGCAGAACUGCUCAAAAUACUCAGUUCACGAGCCCAAACAUCAUAAGAUGAUACGUCCAUCCGCUGAGCGAGCUGCAGUCGCCUGUACAACUUUCUUAGGCUUUUAGUAGGCAGGAUGAAGGUCAUUUACUAGAAAUAGCCUUCCACCUCCUCAAUUUAGUAUUCUACCUUCACACUUCUCCCGCCCUGACCUUAACAUCUCAGAAUCCCUGCUGAUACAGAUGAAACCCGGGUUCAACCAUACAGCAACAGCAACCACCUUAUUCACUCAAUAGAUCUUCCCUCUCAACCUCCCACUUUCGGUUAGUUUCACCAUAUUAUAUGCUUAUAUUGUAUGAUUAUUUUAUGUUUUCACUUGCAUGUUGUGUCUAUGUAUAUAUUGUUAU
rnacentral:misc_RNA from 1 species